rnacentral:rRNA from 1 species
UGGCGGCGUGCUUAACACAUGCAAGUCGAACGAAGCGAUUUAGCGGAAGUUUUCGGAUGGAAGCUAGAUUGACUGAGUGGCGGACGGGUGAGUAACGCGUGGGUAACCUGCCUCACACUGGGGGACAACAGUUAGAAAUGACUGCUAAUACCGCAUAAGCGCACAGGACCGCAUGGUCCGGUGUGAAAAACUCCGGUGGUGUGAGAUGGACCCGCGUUUGAUUAGCUAGUUGGUGGGGUAACGGCCUACCAAGGCGACGAUCAAUAGCCGACCUGAGAGGGUGACCGGCCACAUUGGGACUGAGACACGGCCCAAACUCCUACGGGAGGCAGCAGUGGGGAAUAUUGCACAAUGGGGGAAACCCUGAUGCAGCGACGCCGCGUGAGUGAAGAAGUAUUUCGGUAUGUAAAGCUCUAUCAGCAGGGAAGAAAAUGACGGUACCUGACUAAGAAGCCCCGGCUAACUACGUGCCAGCAGCCGCGGUAAUACGUAGGGGGCAAGCGUUAUCCGGAUUUACUGGGUGUAAAGGGAGCGUAGACGGUAAAGCAAGUCUGAAGUGAAAGCCCGGGGCUCAACCCCGGGACUGCUUUGGAAACUGUUUAACUAGAGUGCUGGAGAGGUAAGCGGAAUUCCUAGU